rnacentral:lncRNA from 1 species
CUUGUAUCUAUCAAACUUGACAAACUUUUUAUAAUCAGCAGACUGUCCGACCGUAUGCGUAUUUUGAAAAAGUACACAUGCGGUCCAAUUACUCAUAUGGUCUGGAACAUAUACACUGCUUCAACUAUGAAAUGUACUAUUAAACUUAACAAUUAUUUUGUAUGAUGGAAUUAAUCGGAUUUACAAAAGAGAUUUUACCAAAUUAUUGACUAAAAUUACAACAUAAAAAGGGGGGGGGGGCAAUUAUAAAUAAUAGAUGAAAAAAACAUAAGGUAGUGAGAAUAAAGCCAAUAAAUUGGUGCUGAAAUAUACAGAAUGUUUCCAAAGUACACGGAUGCCCCACUCGCACAAUCAUUUUCCAUGUUCAAUGGACCAAGAAAUUGGGUAAAAAUCUAAUUUGGCAUUAAAAGUAGAAAGAUCGUACAAUAGGGAACAUGUGUACUAAGUUUCAAGUUGAUUGGACUUUAACUUCAUCAAAAACUACCUUGACCAAAAGCUGUACCCUGAAACUCACACUUUCAUUUUCUAUGUUCA